GCGCCAUUAGUUCAGUGGUUAGAAUAUUUGCUUCCCAUCACAUUUAUUCUUGGAAUAGCAAGGGACCCGAGUUCGAAUCUCGGAUGGCGCA